UACGAAGGGGGCUAGCGUUGCUCGGAAUCACUGGGCGUAAAGCGCUCGUAGGCGGUUUCUUAAGUCAGGGGUGAAAUCCUGGAGCUCAACUCCAGAACUGCCUUUGAUACUGAGGGGCUUGAGUCCGGGAGAGGUGAGUGGAACUGCGAGUGUAGAGGUGAAAUUCGUAGAUAUUCGCAAGAACACCAGUGGCGAAGGCGGCUCACUGGCCCGAUACUGACGCUGAGGUGCGAAAGCGUGGGGAGCAAACAGG
rnacentral:rRNA from 1 species